rnacentral:rRNA from 1 species
CACGUAGGGCGCAAGCGUUGUCCGGAAUUAUUGGGCGUAAAGAGCUCGUAGGCGGUCUGUCGCGUCGGAUGUGAAAAUCCAGGGCUCAACCCUGGACCUGCAUUCGAUACGGGCAGACUAGAGUUCGGCAGGGGAGACUGGAAUUCCUGGUGUAGCGGUGAAAUGCGCAGAUAUCAGGAGGAACACCGGUGGCGAAGGCGGGAUCCUGGGCCAGUACUGACGCUGAGGAGCGAAAGCGUGGGGAGCAACAGG